rnacentral:rRNA from 1 species
CCUACGGGUGACAGCAGUAGGGAAUUUUCGGCAAUGGGGGGAACCCUGACGGAGCAACGCCGCGUGAACGAAGAAGUUAUUCGUAUUGUAAAGUUCUUUUGACAGGGAGGAAAGAGAAAUUUGACGGUACCUGAAGAAUAGGCUCCGGCUAACUACGUACCAGCGGCCGCGGUAGUACGUAGGGAGCGAGCAUUAUCGGGAAUGAUGGGGCGAAAAGGGUGGGUAGAUGGCAUAGUAAGUCUUUUGUAAAAAUGCUGGGUUCAACCCAGUAGGGCAAAAGAUACUGCAAAGCUAGAGUAUGAGAGAGGCAAGUGGAACUACAGGUGUAGCGGUAAAAUGCGUAAAGAUAUGUAAGAACACCAGUGGCGAAGGCGGCUUGCUGGGACGAUACUGACAUUGAGGCACGAAAGCGUGGGGAGCAAACAGGAUUAGAUACCCGUGUAGUC